GCCGCCCGGGCACUCCUCGUCUGCGGGCGCGGGGUCCAAGUGUCCCCUGUCCAGGGCGGGCAGGAGGGAGAAGUCGCAAUCUCGGUUGAAGUCUCCUCCCCGCCUCCUUCGUGCAGUUCAAGGCUGCCUCGGCCCCGCGCCCCUCCCGCGUCCCCGGCCACGCGCCCCUCCCGCGUCCCCGGCCCCGCACCUUGCCGCAGCGGCCCCCGCGCCAGCUCGGACCGGUCCUCGGGGAAGGCGUCGCGCAGGCGCUGCCACAGGCGGCCCAGGUCCGCCAGGCUGCGGUGCAGGUAGAGCACGCUGCGGUCCGACCACUCCGUGCGGAUCUCGAAGAACUCCUCUUCGUCGCCGCGCCGGCUGACGAUGAGCCUGCGGAUGCCGUUCACCCAGCAGCCGCGCACGAACAUGUUCACGAGCGACGUGCCCUCAAACACCGCCGAGGCCAUGUCGCACGCAUGCCCUCGCCAAGGGCGCCCCGGCCCCGCCGCCCGCCCGCCCGCAGGAGGCGCACCCCGGCUGGGGUCGUCCCGGGUCUGUCCGUGGCCGGGGUCGUCCGGGGCCGGAGUCGUCCGGGGUCCGCCCGGCACUCCAGGAGGCUGCGUGCGGCCCGCGUUCGGGGCGGCGCGGCGGCGAGUGGCUCGGGCCGGCCGGGCGCGGCUUUAUAAGGCGCUUCCCAUCGCGGGCGGCGCGGUAGUCGACGUCGAGGCCAGGCCGCGUCCGCCUCCCGCCCGCCUCCCGCGGAACGGGCGCCGCGGGCCGCCCUGGAAAGGAAGAGGUCCGGCUGGCCGCGCCUCCGCCGCCUCCGCAGAGACCGCGCUGCUGCGGCCACGGGAACCCCCGGGGCCGGGAGCCGGGCCGCGUCCCAAGUGCUCGCCCCCGCCUCGCGCCCGCCGCGCCUCCUCUCGCGGCCCCGGAGCCGCAGGUCGGUGACUGGACCAGCCGGGAAGGGAGGCGGGGCGGGCCCUGCUUGCCAGGCGCUCGGCGCAGACUUUUUUCUCUUUCCGUUUCGCGAUCCUCGGGACCUCCCAGGGCUGGGAGCUGCGCGCCCCACCCGGCCCGCGAGGGGAUGGCAACUACCGGGGGUCCGGAGGCGGGGCUGCGAGUGUUGGGGCGGGGGGCGCGGGCCGGGCCGAGCGCCGCCCCGACCCGCCCCGACGAGGACUCAGGCCAGUCCGGCCCGCCCCGGGUUCCCUCCGUGCCCCGCGUCCCCUCCGUGCCCCGCGUCCUCCCGCGCAUUCCGGUCAUGCCUCAGCCGCGCCAAGGCCCGGGACGCGGCCGGACAGACCGCGGGGCAGCCCUCGGAGAAGUGGGAAGAGGGGAGAAAACAGUGGCGAAAAGAAGGUCUCCUGGGAAAGAGCGCCCUGGAAAGCCGGACGCCGUGGGUGCGCUUGAGGGGCCUCAGGAGUGGACUUGGGGAAACCGCCUGCCCUGAAAACUGACUCAGCGGCGCGUUCCUGAGGCCGUUCCUAGUUGGAAGACAAUUAAUAGCACUUGUUUAAGAAUUACAAGUUAGUUCCAGAAAUGAAUCGAGUGACCUCACAACGUGUAGGCAGGGGUGGGAGAGCCAGGGUGAGCCCCUCACCUCACCCCACCCCCGCCCCGGCAGCGCUCUAGAAAGCCUCUAAAGCCCAGCGCUGCGCGGAAAUGUUGGAGGCCCAAGGCAGGUGACCUGUCUGGACUCAGACCCGACCCAGAUGUCCCCCCAGGUCCCUACCACUCAGUCCCACCUGCCUCGACUCAGUCCCGACCCAGAUGACACCCCCUCCCCCCCACCCCAGCACGACCAGCUUUUAUUCAGACUGUGCCAGCGACUUGCAGAUAGCAUAGCUUCAGAGUUCCUCACCUGGUCUGGGGCGGUGAACAGGUCAAGAUGGAGAGUGUCAAGAGAGACUUUUGCUUUGUCUAUGAUGUUCUUAUAUAAACUUGUUAAUUAAAUGAACGCAUGUUUCCUGUGUAAUUUUGUAUAGGGGAAUAGGGGCCGUGGGAACUGGAAGUAAACAGCCAGUGUGCCAGCAGCUCUUGACUCUAGGUGGUGGGAAUAAGUGCCAUUGUAACCACAGGACAAGCCCAAACGGGGCUUACUCUGUUCAUAACAAUGUUGAGUUACCUUGCAGGUAUAACAGAGCCCAAAACUCUUAAGUCACAAAGCCCCACGCAUGCACCAUAGAAAAAUGUUUGAUCUCUGACAAACAUCCAGAACCGACUAUUCGUCUCCUUGCAACGAAGAAGACUGGGACAUGAUUGGUACCCGAACAUUCGAACUCUCAGAAGGGAAGGUUCUCUUGGCCCAGAAGAUAGGGGCUAAAAUCCACCUCAACAUACCGUACCAUAAAUGGCCAAAUUUGAAGGCCUUCAAACAGAUCCUGCCUAGCCAACAUUUCUAAGUCCUUUCCUUCGCCCUCUGCUUCCUUAAAACUUGCCCCAGACCCCAAAUCAGGGAGGAAGAUUUGAAUCUGCCUCCUGUCUCCUGGCUGGCUGGUCUUGCAAUAACGCCUUUCUUUUCUCAAAGGCAGUACCAUGGUAUUGCUUCUGUGUACAUUGAUUGAGCAGUGAGCCUGAGGCAGGAAAAUAGGGUCAGGAGGCAGGGAACAUAAGGCCAAUUCACACUUCGGCUAUAACAGGAAAUAUCCACUCCAUAGGGCGUAUGCUGUAAAUGACUUUGUAACUUUACUUCAUCCUCUGCAUUUACAUAGAGCGUAAGUGAAGUAACUAAUGGAAUCAUCUAGGGGAUAUUUAAACUUCCAAAAAUUCUGUAACCGGGGACUUUGAGCCCCUGUGUUCAGGCCACUCCCACACUGCGGAAUGUA
rnacentral:antisense_RNA from 1 species